rnacentral:rRNA from 1 species
UACGGAGGGUGCAAGCGUUAUCCGGAUUUACUGGGGUUAAAGGGUGCGUAGGCGGGCUUUUAAGUCAGCGGUGAAAUCUCCGAGCUUAACUCGGAAAUUGCCGUUGAUACUAUUAGUCUUGAAUUAAGUUGAGGUGGGCGGAAUAAGUCAUGUAGCGGUGAAAUGCUUAGAUAUGACUUAGAACACCGAUUGCGAAGGCAGCUCGCUAAACUUAUAUUGACGCUGAGGCACGAAAGCGUGGGGAGCGAACGGG